rnacentral:snoRNA from 1 species
GGCCUCCUGGUGCUUACCACAGACUGUGUUCUUGCACUGACUGUAUAGAAAAAGGAGGCAGAGUGAGCCUACCCCAUACACACCUCAGCCCAGGCCUUGUGCCUGGUCUGAAUUGUGAAUGGGGGACAUGG